rnacentral:rRNA from 1 species
GUUGUUGGGUAGGGGAGCGUUCUGUAAGCCUGCGAAGGUGUACUGUGAGGUAUGCUGGAGGUAUCAGAAGUGCGAAUGCUGACAUAAGUAACGAUAAAGCGGGUGAAAAGCCCGCUCGCCGGAAGACCAAGGGUUCCUGUCCAACGUUAAUCGGGGCAGGGUGAGUCGACCCCUAAGGCGAGGCCGAAAGGCGUAGUCGAUGGGAAACAGGUUAAUAUUCCUGUACUUGGUGUUACUGCGAAGGGGGGACGGAGAAGGCUAUGUUGGCCGGGCGACGGUUGUCCCGGUUUAAGCGUGUAGGCUGGUUUUCCAGGCAAAUCCGGAAAAUCAAGGCUGAGGCGUGAUGACGAGGCACUACGGUGCUGAAGCAACAAAUGCCCUGCUUCCAGGAAAAGCCUCUAAGCAUCAGGUAACAUCAAAUCGUACCCCAAACCGACACAGGUGGUCAGGUAGAGAAUACCAAGGCGCUUGAGAGAACUCGGGUGAAGGAACUAGGCAAAAUGGUGCCGUAACUUCGGGAGAAGGCACGCUGAUA